rnacentral:tRNA from 1 species
GGGGGUAUAGCUCAAGCAGAGCAUAUGCUUAGUAUGCACAAGGUCCUGGGUUCAAUCCCUGGUACCUUCU